AUUUGCUGAGAUGGAUGUUAUUUUCUACAGGUCUUUACUCUUCCGAAUCUAAAGCCGUAUAGAAAGUUCAAGGUGACCGCUCAUGAAGGAUCGCACGUGAGAAAAGUUGCAAUUUCCAAGUUUACUUCGGAGAGUGAUUCAUCCUACUUGGAAUACUGCAUGAUCUGCUUGACAAAUCAAGGUGAUCUAGGUGUUUACUCCAUACCUGACCUUCGUCGACAGCUAGUUCACUCGUGUACCAAGAAGGAAGACAUUACUGGCAUAUCGAGCUUGAUGUGUACCAAGAAUGGUCAGGGUUUCUUUCUCCACUCUCCGUGCGAGUUUUUUCGGUUUACCUUGUCGACCAAAAGUGUCACCAAAGCACGAUGUCUACUUGAACUGCCAGAAGGUGCAAGACCUGCUACUGAAACUCCAUCUUCUCCAGAGGAGACCAGCCAUCUCUCAGAAGAUGUUAAACAUGAAACAACUCCACAGGAAGUUGAUACAUCAGAAUUCAGCCCAAUUAUUGAAGAAAAUGUUGAAAAGUA